rnacentral:rRNA from 1 species
UACGGAGGGUGCAAGCGUUAUCCGGAUUCACUGGGUUUAAAGGGUGCGUAGGUGGGCGAGUAAGUCAGUGGUGAAAUCUCCGGGCUUAACCCGGAAACUGCCAUUGAUACUAUUCGUCUUGAAUGUUGUGGAGGUAAGCGGAAUAUGUCAUGUAGCGGUGAAAUGCUUAGAUAUGACAUAGAACACCAAUUGCGAAGGCAGCUGGCUACACGAAUAUUGACACUGAUGCACGAAAGCGUGGGGAUCAAACAGG